UCAUAAACCUUAAUACUAAGAACCAAAAAGAGGCCUGGAGGACAUGAAUAUUUUCAGCAAAAGGUUGCAUAAUUUUCGGAAGCCCAACAAUUCAAUGAGUAACAAAUCUUCAACUCAUAGCACAAAAUUGUCUAAACAUAGUGUUUUCAAACAAAAUGAAGGCUAAUAAACAACAAACUCUAAAUAUUAAAGCCUUAGGUGUUUGUAGCUCGGGUGUAAAUCUGCUGGCUAGCAUG
rnacentral:misc_RNA from 1 species